CGAGGCUGGAAACCAAAGAACCUCCGCUACGAACCGGACUGGACGUCUGUUUCACUUCUGGCAGCUGUCGAACAAUCCACUUCUUGAACGUGACUGUUUUGGACGUGCACGGAUAAACAUGUAGGACUUCUGGACUAAACAGCUGUCAGCGAGAAGCCGAGUCAACGAAAAAUUAGAGAGAAGGCACCUAGUCGACAACCUCAGCUGCCAAAUCUUAGACUGCGCUCAUCUGACCGAAUAACGGGAGUUGACAGUCACGUCCCCAAAGCGAGGAAAGAGUUUUGAGACAACUUAACGCGAACCAUGAAUCCUUAGAUUCCCAGUCCUGGCACGCCAACCACUACGCUACUUCCAGCCACAAAAUAA